UACCUCCAUGUUCCUGACCGCCUGCAGACCUCGUCCUGUGCCUGCGGGAAGCACCAAGACACGGACGUGAGGCGCGCUGGUUAAAUGACUCAACAGACCCUCGGUGUCCCAGGACCUGGGAAGGUCGCCGGGCGCAGCGGCGUGGGUUCGAAUCCCCGCCGACGAAGGAACCUCAGCAGCCUAACGCACUGAAGACGGUGGCUCAGAGACGCUGGAAGGACAAAACCAUGGCGAGAAGCUCGUCCACAAGCCCUCAUGGCGCCACCUGGACCUGGAUGGAGGACAGGCACAGGACGAGGUCAGCAGGCGGUCAGGAACAUGGAGCUAGCGGAGGUUGGGUCACCUGCAUGGGAGAUGUUGAUUGGAUGUUGGCAUCUUCUAUUGUCUCUCUGCUCGCCAGGCCGGUCAGCUGCUGAUUUCUCUGCCACAGUCCUGUCAUAGUUCAUAUUCCGACUGGACAAGUCUGUAGAGAAGGCCAGUAACGUGUUGGGAGUGGAGCUGGACUCUCUGGCGGUAGUGUCAGAGAGGAAAAGUCUAGCAAAACUCCUAGCCUUUAUGGACAACACCUCCCACCCACUACACUCGGACCUUGGGGAGAGAAUGAGCACGUUCAGUGGAAGGCUCAGACUCCCUAAAUGCAACACGGAACGACACAGGAGAGGUCCUUCAUACCGACAGCCAUCAGACUGUAUAAUGCAUAUGUUCCUUCUUGAUUGCACUUAAAUGUAGAAUAUAUGUAGAAUAUAUUUAUAUUAUUCAUAUACUUAUAUAUAUAUGUUAUAUAAGAUUUAUUAUUGUCUAUUUCGAGCAAACUGUGGUGCUGAAUUUCCCCCAGGGAUCAAUAAAGUACUUUCUAUUCUAUUCUAUUCACUGUUUAUUGAAUUUUUGUUGCGUUUCAAUUGAUUGUGAAAUAUGUCGAUCAAAAGGGGGUGUGACAUUCAUAUUUUGUCAAUAUUCAGUGUUUUAUCGUUCAUAGAAAAAAAAUAAAAUUCCAUUGUUUUUUAGGGCGGUCUGUCGUUACAUUUUUAGCAUUCAAUCAGACAUUAUUGUGAGGUUUUGUAUUAGUGUUCCUAAAAUUAGACAUACUGGCCCCCAGACACAUUUUUUUCUCUAAAUGUGGCCCUCGAGCUAAAAUAAUUGCCCAGGCCUGAUCUAAUAGCAAUGAAUGCAACAAAGUCUAAUUUGUCAUCCGUUUUUAUUUGCAUCCACGGUCCACUUACUUUACAGGAAUGCAUGACAGAAGACAAGAAUGGCUCACUUGAACAUGAUUAACGUCUCAUAACAUUUGAAUCCAGAAAGUUCCCCUAAAAAGAGCAGUCCUAGCCCAGCCCCUCGAUGAAGGUGUGGCACUUCACACACCAGCGUAAAAAAAAAACAAAAAACAACAAGCAGACGACUUUUUUGGAAGGCAGAAUGGACAUUGUGAAGACAUACGGUCCAGAGGUAAUAUUCCAACCAAUCAAACAAGUCCACAGGGAAUACUCUCUCCUGAUUGGCUGCCUGUUUUUAAAUCUUUAAAAAAACAGAAACACACUUCACUCCAGUUUCUCCUUAACAUUGUUAGUCACAGUUUUGGAAGUUCAUGGCAACGUUUACACUGCAGGGUUGGAUUUAUUUAUUUUUUUGGUCAAAUCCCAUCUUUUCAGUGGCCGU